UGUUUUUUUUUUUCGCGUAUUUAAAUAUUUUCCUUUUUUUAAAAAUUGUCUUUUACGCCUCGUUUUCCCCCCAGCUCUUCUUCCUCCUUUCUUUCGUCCCCCGCCCCCGGUGGAAGUUCGUGGCGCGCUCCGCGCGGGGCCGCCGCGCGGAGCCGCUUGCGCCGUUUCUUUGUCUAGAGCGUGCGGGAAACGUGCUCGCUGCCCUCGCCGGUGUCGCCAGACGCGCCCGGCUCCGCGGCCCGCUCCCUCCCACCUUCCCGAGGGCGGCCGCGGUGCUGUCCCGCCGCGAUAGAGCUCGGGGAGUGCGUGUGUGUGCGGGUGGGUGGGGGGGCACGGCUGUGGCUCGGCACCCGUGUGCGGCGGGGGAUGGCGGCGGCGCUCGUCUCAUUCAAUCCACUGCGGGAGCUUGACAGCCCCGUCAAACUUGGGUCCCUCUCGGUCGCGGUCCCUGCGCGGGUGUGGGGGGAGUGCGCCGGAGGGACUGGAAGGGGGAGGGGGCAGUGACUGCUGUGGAGUUGUUGCCGAAAAUGGGGGUGGGGGGCGGUUGCUAUUUUAGAGUUUCACCCGAUUGAUGCGGGGAGGUUAAUUGCUGGGUCGCUGUUGCCCCUGGAGGGACGGGGAGCAGUCGCUAUUUCGGAAUUGCCCCCCCGGAAAAGGGGGGGAAGGCAGUAGCUGUGUCGGAGCUGCCCCGGUUGGUGUGUGUAUGUUUGCUAUUUCGGAGUCCCCCCCCAGAGGCGGGGAGAAAGCAGGGGGCUGCACCAGUGCUGUCGGGGGACUAGGGGGUGGUGGGCAGUUGCUAUUUUCGGAGCUGCCCCGGCGGGCGCAGCCCCCACGGCGCUGGGGGGCUCCGGCCCCGAGCUGAACUCCUCGCAGAGGGUAACUUUGCGAGUCAGUGCUAGGGGUGAUGGUGAGCGGUUACGGAGCGCUGGUGCCAGUCGGGAGAGGCUCUCUCCGGAGUCCCCGCUGCGGUUCCCGGCUCUCGCCUUUGUCUGCGAGCCGCCGCGGAGCGUCCCCCGGGGGCGCCGGUCUCCCAGGCGGGCUGCGUUCCCUUCGGGCCCCAGGCGGUGAUGCGCUCUGUCGAGCCCCGGGGCCGCGGCCGGGAAAGUUGCGGGGGGGGGCUGACUGUGCGUGUGCGUGGGAAGACGGCGGGAGAUAGGGUGGCUGUGCCCGGGGCCCCCCUGGCCCUGCGCCCCGUCCGGCACCGGGCCGUGCCGCUACCGGAGGAGCGGGGUUGGCGGAAAAAAACCCUCACGGUAGAGGAUUUGCGAAAAA